GAUGAACGCUGGCGGCGUGCCUAAUACAUGCAAGUCGAGCGAACAGACGAGGAUCUUGCUCCUCUGACGUUAGCGGCGGACGGGUGAGUAACACGUGGAUAACCUACCUAUAAGACUGGGAUAACUUCGGGAAACCGGAGCUAAUACCGGAUAAUAUAUUGAACCGCAUGGUUCAAUAGUGAAAGACGGUUUUGCUGUCACUUAUAGAUGGAUCCGCGCCGCAUUAGCUAGUUGGUAAGGUAACGGCUUACCAAGGCAACGAUGCGUAGCCGACCUGAGAGGGGGAUAGGCCACACUGGAACUGAGACACGGUCAAGACGACUACGGGAGGCAGCAGUAGGGAAUCUUACGCAAUGGGCGAAAGCAUGACGGAGCAACGCCGAGUGAGAGAUGAAGGUCUUCGGAUCGGAAAAAUCGGUUAUUAGGGAAGAACAAAUGUGGAAGUAACUAUGCACGGCUUGACGGUACCUAAUCAGAAAGCCACGGCUAACUACGUG
rnacentral:rRNA from 1 species